AGGACUAAAACCAGCCUCAUUUCAUGCUGCAUAUGGCUUGGCAGUGUAGAUGCAGCAUUACCAAGAGCCUGAGCAGGGUUGUAUCAGAGCCUCCUUUUUUCCUUUGCAAAGGGUGCUUUGUGCAGUCGUGAACAGGGAAGGGAAAUCCUCACGUCACAAAGCUCUGAGGGAAGGUGGCGUGCAUGAUGCUGGCCGCUCCUUUCAAGCUUGGACGUAAUUUUCAGGUGGUGUGGAUGAUACUGGCUGCACUGUUGGAGCUUGGAUUCGGAGAGGAACAGGUGAGCACAGUCUUAUGGUGCAUCAGUA
rnacentral:lncRNA from 1 species